AUUGAACGCUGGCGGCAGGCCUAACACAUGCAAGUCGAGCGGGGUUUUCGGACCUAGCGGCGGACGGGUGAGUAAUGCGUAGGGAGCUGCCCGAUAGAGGGGGAUACCAGUUGGAAACGACUGUUAAUAUCGCAUAAUGUCUACGGACCAAAGUGUGGGACCUUCGGGCCACAUGCUAUCGGAUGCACCUACGUGGGAUUAGCUAGUUGGUGGGGUAACGGCUCACCAAGGCGACGAUCCCUAGCGGGUUUGGGAGGAUGAUCAGCCACACUGGAACUGGAACACAGGCCAGACUCCUACGGGAGGCAGCAGUGGGGAAUAUUGGACAAUGGGGGCAACCCUGAUCCAGCCAUGCCGCGUGUGUGAAGAAGGCCUUCAGGUUGUAAAGCACUUUCAGCGAGGAGGAAGUGUGAUGUUUUAAUAGAGCAUCAUUUUGACGUUACUCGCAGAAGAAGCACCGGCUAACUCUGUGCCAGCCGCCGCGGUAACAC
rnacentral:rRNA from 1 species